CCUACGGGCGGCAGCAGUGGGGAAUAUUGGGCAAUGGAGGCAACUCUGACCCAGCAACGCCGCGUGAAUGAUGAAGGUCUUCGGAUUGUAAAGUUCUGUGAUGGGGGAUGAACACAAUGACGGUACCCCAAUAACAAGCCACGGCUAACUACGUGCCAGCAGCCGCGGUAAUACGUAGGUGGCAAGCGUUAUCCGGAAGGACUGGGCGUAAGGGGUGCGUAGGUGGUUUUGUAAGUUGGCGGUGUAAUUCCGGGGCUCAACCUCGGCGCUACCGCCGAAACUAGUAGACUAGAGUGCAGGAGGGGUGAGUGGAAUUCCUGGUGUAGCGGUGAAAUGCGUAGAUAUUAGGAGGAACAUCAGGGGCGAAGGCGACUUCCUGGACUGUAACUGACACUGAGGCACGAAAGCGUGGGGAGCAAACAGGAUUAGAUACCCUGGUAGUC
rnacentral:rRNA from 1 species